GACAGAGGGUGCAAACGUUGCUCGGAAUUACUGGGCGUAAAGCGCGUGUAGGCGGGUCGGCAAGUCAGAUGUGAAAUCCCUGGGCUCAACCUAGGAACUGCAUUUGAAACUGCCGGUCUUGAGUGAUGGAGAGGAGAGCGGAAUUCCUGGUGUAGAGGUGAAAUGCGCAGAUAUCAGGAGGAACACCGGUGGCGAAGGCGGGUCUCUGGGCCGAUACUGACGCUGAGGUGCGAAAGCGUGGGGAGCAAACAGG
rnacentral:rRNA from 1 species